GUAGUUUCCAAGGAGACAGGACCCUGGGUCUACUGCUCAGCCUAGUGCUGAUGUUUACCUAUUUUACAUAAGCCCUGCUCUACUCUAAGACCUUCAAACAGUGGCUUCAUUUACACUGUGCUUAUACUCUUCUCCCCUGAUCCAAAGUUUGGUAGUUCCCCUUACCCGUAGUGGUUUCUGGUUUCACUUUCCACAGUCUGUUAUCCAUUGCUGCUGUCAGUUACAGUCAGGAAGCAGGUUCUCCUUCUGACGAAUCAGCAGAAGGUCAAUAGUAGCCUAACGCUGUCACAAUCCUGCGUCACAAUGCCUGUGUCAUUCACAUUUCAGCUCAUCACUAGGCAUUUUAUCUCAUUAUCACAAGAAGGGCUAUUUCUUGGGUGCUGCCUCUACUCUGCUGAACUCAAGUGUCUUCUCCUGACCUUGUGGCUCUUCUUCUGGUUAUUGACAACAGAGCACAGGACUGACCACACAUGGUGCCAGAGCAUCUAGAUAAUUUGUCUUAAGGUAAUUGGACUGUGAUGCUUUCCUUGCCACAUCUCAACAUGUGCUCAUUUGAGUAUCUUCUAGGAGCCACAAAACAAGUACUCAUCAUUUCUGUCCACACACAUCUAGCAGCUUUGAACUACAAGCACCAUGCACUUGUCUGUAUACUUUAUCUGGUGUCUUGUGCCAGCAUCUUGUCCCCCUAUGUUGGGGAAUUAACACAACUCUCUCAAACAGUGGAAUCAGCUCUUAACCAAGAACUGUUUGGAAUUGGCAUAUCCCUCUCUACAGAAAUGAAAAUAGAACUGCUGAACUGAUGGAGAUGGGAAAAGAGUGGUGGUCAUUGGCAUAGAGACUGAACUACCAGGAG